AGAGAAUUGACUGAGUGGUUUAAAGUGAUAAGCUUGAAACUUAUUUGAUUGAAAAAUCACAUCCGUUCGAAUCGGAUAUUCUCUG
rfam:Phaeosphaeria nodorum SN15 mitochondrion, complete genome.